rnacentral:rRNA from 1 species
UUUUUAAUUGGGAUCUUGUAUGAAUGAUUGGACAAGAGAAAUACUGUCUUUAUAUUAAAACUUGAAUUUAACUUUUAAGUGAAAAGGCUUAAAUAUACUAAGGGGACGAUAAGACCCUAUAAAACUUUUACAUUUGUGUUAAAUUUUAUGGAAUUUGAAGGUUAUAAUUAUUAAAUUUUAAUUUUUUGUUAUGUUGGGGAGACAGAAGCUAUAAUUUGUAUAUAACUGCUUUUAAGGGAAACAAUAAUAGGUGGAGAUAGUGUUAUUAAAGAUCCUUUAUUGAGAUUAUAAGAUUAAGUUACUUUAGGGAUAACAGCGUUAUUUUUUUUGAGAGUUCAUAUCGAAAAGAAAGAUUGCGACCUCGAUGUUGAAUUAAAAUAUCUUUAUAAUGUAGACGUUAUAAAAGAAGGUCUGUUCGACCUUUAAUUUUUU